rnacentral:misc_RNA from 1 species
CCGAGUUUACAACUCCCAAACCCCUGUGAACAUACCACUUGUUGCCUCGGCGGAUCAGCCCGCUCCCGGUAAAACGGGACGGCCCGCCAGAGGACCCCUAAACUCUGUUUCUAUAUGUAACUUCUGAGUAAAACCAUAAAUAUAUCA